GGGCCCGCACAAGCGGUGGAGCAUGUGGUUUAAUUCGAUGCAACGCGAAGAACCUUACCAGGGCUUGACAUACUACAGAUCCUGUUGAAAAACAGGAGUGCCUUCGGGAAUGUAGAUACAGGUGGUGCAUGGCUGUCGUCAGCUCGUGUCGUGAGAUGUUGGUUAAGUCCCGCAACGAGCGCAACCCCUAUCGUUAGUUGCCAUCAAGUAAAGUUGGGAACUCUAGCGAAACUGCCGGUGUAAACCGAGAGGAAGGUGGGGAUGACGUCAAAUCAUCACGGCCCUUACGUUCUGGCUACACACGUGCUACAAUGGUCGGUACAGAAAGCAGCCACUAUGCGAAUAGGAG
rnacentral:rRNA from 1 species